AGAUGAUGCCCUCUAGACUCCGGUAAUCUAUCCUUUCCAAAAGGAAACAGAGGGCGUUCCUCCUAGCCUGACACCCGUCUUUGGGCAUUAUGUUCUCCGUCGUCUGCUUGAGCAACUUUGGGCUUAUGGCCUGCGUCUUACUGGUUUAU
ensembl:ncRNA W03G11.6 ncRNA